AUUGAACGCUGGCGGCAGGCCUAACACAUGCAAGUCGAACGAGUGGCGGACGGGUGAGUAAUGUCUGGGAAACUGCCCGAUGGAGGGGGAUAACUACUGGAAACGGUAGCUAAUACCGCAUACCAUCGGAUGUGCCCAGAUGGGAUUAGCUAGUAGGUGGGGUAACGGCUCACCUAGGCGACGAUCCCUAGCUGGUCUGAGAGGAUGACCAGGCACACUGUGACUUAAACAAGGUCCAUAAUCCUACGGGUGGCAGCAGUGGGGAAUAUUGCACAAUUGGCGCAAGCCUGAUGCAGCCAUGCCGCGUGUAUGAAGAAGGCCUGCGGGUUGUAAAGUACUUUCAGCGAGGAGGCGUUACUCGAAGAAGAAGCACCGGCUAACUCCGUGCCAGCAGCCGCGGUAAUAC
rnacentral:rRNA from 1 species